rnacentral:rRNA from 1 species
CAGGCUUAACACAUGCAAGUCGAGGGGCAGCAUGGUCUUAGCUUGCUAAGGCCGAUGGCGACCGGCGCACGGGUGAGUAACACGUAUCCAACCUGCCGUCUACUCUUGGACAGCCUUCUGAAAGGAAGAUUAAUACAAGAUGGCAUCAUGAGUCCGCAUGUUCACAUGAUUAAAGGUAUUCCGGUAGACGAUGGGGAUGCGUUCCAUUAGAUAGUAGGCGGGGUAACGGCCCACCUAGUCUUCGAUGGAUAGGGGUUCUGAGAGGAAGGUCCCCCACAUUGGAACUGAGACACGGUCCAAACUCCUACGGGAGGCAGCAGUGAGGAAUAUUGGUCAAUGGGCGAGAGCCUGAACCAGCCAAGUAGCGUGAAGGAUGACUGCCCUAUGGGUUGUAAACUUCUUUUAUAAAGGAAUAAAGUCGGGUAUGGAUACCCGUUUGCAUGUACUUUAUGAAUAAGGAUCGGCUAACUCCGUGCCAGCAGCCGCGGUAAUACGGAGGAUCCGAGCGUUAUCCGGAUUUAUUGGGUUUAAAGGGAGCGUAGAUGGAUGUUUAAGUCAGUUGUGAAAGUUUGCGGCUCAACCGUAAAAUUGCAGUUGAUACUGGAUAUCUUGAGUGCAGUUGAGGCAGGCGGAAUUCGUGGUGUAGCGGUGAAAUGCUUAGAUAUCACGAAGAACUCCGAUUGCGAAGGCAGCCUGCUAAGCUGCAACUGACAUUGAGGCUCGAAAGUGUGGGUAUCAAACAGGAUUAGAUACCCUGGUAGUCCACACGGUAAACGAUGAAUACUCGCUGUUUGCGAUAUACUGCAAGCGGCCAAGCGAAAGCGUUAAGUAUUCCACCUGGGGAGUACGCCGGCAACGGUGAAACUCAAAGGAAUUGACGGGGCCCGCACAAGCGGAGGAACAUGUGGUUUAAUUCGAUGAUACGCGAGGAACCUUACCCGGGCUUAAAUUGCAGAUGAAUUACGGUGAAAGCCGUAAGCCGCAAGGCAUCUGUGAAGGUGCUGCAUGGUUGUCGUCAGCUCGUGCCGUGAGGUGUCGGCUUAAGUGCCAUAACGAGCGCAACCCUUGUUGUCAGUUACUAACAGGUUCCGCUGAGGACUCUGACAAGACUGCCAUCGUAAGAUGUGAGGAAGGUGGGGAUGACGUCAAAUCAGCACGGCCCUUACGUCCGGGGCUACACACGUGUUACAAUGGGGGGUACAGAGGGCCGCUACCACGCGAGUGGAUGCCAAUCCCCAAAACCUCUCUCAGUUCGGACUGGAGUCUGCAACCCGACUCCACGAAGCUGGACUCGCUAGUAAUCGCGCAUCAGCCACGGCGCGGUGAAUACGUUCCCGGGCCUUGUACACACCGCCCGUCAAGCCAUGGGAGCCGGGGGUACCUGAAGUGCGUAACCACGAGGAGCGCCCUAGGGUAAAACUGGUGACUGGGGCUAAGU